rnacentral:rRNA from 1 species
UACGAAGGGGGGCUAGCGUUGCUCGGAAUCACUGGGCGUAAAGCGCACGUAGGCGGAUUGCUAAGUCAGGGGUGAAAUCCUGGAGCUCAACUCCAGAACUGCCUUUGAUACUGGCGAUCUUGAGUCCGGGAGAGGUGAGUGGAACUGCGAGUGUAGAGGUGAAAUUCGUAGAUAUUCGCAAGAACACCAGUGGCGAAGGGCGGCUCACUGGCCCGGUACUGACGCUGAGGUGCGAAAGCGUGGGGAGCAAACAGG